UUCGAGAUAAACAAUGGGGGCCAGCCAAAGCUCCAAUUCCUCCUGUGAGGCCUAUAAAUACGGGCCUGCGAGAUACGCAUGGUUUCGCCAAGCAGAGCGGCUGCCUUCGGCUAUCCACAGAUGGCGUCCUUCGCCGGAGCCGCCCGUCUCCUGACGCUGCUGCAGGUCGCGCUGCUCGUCGUCUCCGCGGUGCUGAUGAGCGGCUCCGCCGUCUGCCACGGAGCCCGGGACGUCGGAUUAGGCGUCCGGCACGGAUGGACAGGAUGGCCCAGGUGGCCCAGGGGUGGCAGGCUUCGUCCUGGCGGUUCGGUACCCACGGCGCCUCCACCGGCACCCUGAUGGCUGCCUACUGCCAUCAUCACAUUCCCAGCUCGGAGGUGCACAGCUCCAGUACUGAGAAAAUAUAAAACGAAAAAUAAAAACAUCACAUGUACUUGGGUUUGGUGUGAAUAAACCUGGUGAUGCCAGUGCAAAUGGCCGACGGCACUGCAGCUAGGUGCCGAGACAUUGAUGUAAAACGUAUUUUGUACCUUUCAGUUCAGAAUAAAGCUAGCGGAGUAAUAACAGGUCAA